GACGAACGCUGGCGGCGUGCCUAAUACAUGCAAGUAGGACGCUGAAGGAGGAGCUUGCUUCUCUGGAUGAGUUGCGAACGGGUGAGUAACGCGUAGGUAACCUGCCUGGUAGCGGGGGAUAACUAUUGGAAACGAUAGCUAAUACCGCAUAAUAGUAGAUGUUGCAUGACAUUUGCUUAAAAGGUGCAAUUGCAUCACUACCAGAUGGACCUGCGUUGUAUUAGCUAGUUGGUGGGGUAACGGCUCACCAAGGCGACGAUACAUAGCCGACCUGAGAGGGUGAUCGGCCACAAUGGGACUGAGAACCGGCACAGACUCCUACGGGAGGCAGCAGUAGGGAAUCUUCGGCAAUGGACGGAAGUCUGACCGAGCAACGCCGCGUGAGUGAAGAAGGGUUUCGGAUCGUAAAGCUCUGUUGUAAGAGAAGAACGAGUGUGAGAGUGGAAAGUUCACACUGUGACGGUAUCUUACCAGAAAGGGACGGCUAACUACGUG
rnacentral:rRNA from 1 species